rfam:Dipodomys ordii contig_11874, whole genome shotgun sequence.
GGGAAGGUGGCUCAGUGGUAGAGCACUUGCCUUGCAUCCUUGAGGCCCUGGGUUCGAUUCCUCAGCCCCA